AAUAAUCCAGGAGACGGAGCGGGCAGCGGAGGUGAGUUGGUGAGAGUGAAUAGGCAGAUCCAAUGUCACAGAAGCCACCGACGACCAGGCAGGGGUGGGGUGAAUGUUCCGGGAGAAUGAUUAUAGACAGAGGAAACGGAGGUGAGUACACGGCAAGCAAAAAGUACAGAACAACAAAACGAACUCUAGUAAACAUGAGGCUGACACAACAUACUGUUCAUUGCUAAUGAUCCGGCAGGGAAUGGAUGUCAGGUCAGAGCUUAUGAAGAGAAGAGGUGAUGAUCAGGACCAGGUGUGCAGAUAGCUGAUGAGAUGCAGGUGCGGGUAAUCGAGAGAUCUCCCGCCUAGCUUCGUCGCCUAGCAACCAGACAGGGUGCGUUCAGGAACCUCAGGAAACACACUCCAAAACAGAAAACAGGCAACUCAGGCAGAAAACAGACUCAGGAAGCGGGAUUCAUGACACCUUCUGACAAAGAUCUGCCAACCUGCUCAGUGGGUGACAGGUAACUGUCUUUCCAUCAAGCUGUUCCAGGCCUGGAGUGGCACACUGGAACUUCCAGAGGCUUGUAGACCUGAAGCAGUGUGAUGUGGUCCAGAUCUGACACCCCUAUUAGCUCAACCACAGUCUUCACAGCUGCAGUUUGCCGCUGUAUCUGCUACACUGGUCACGACAGGUGAUACAGAUAUGCCACCCCCUAAUGUGGUAUUUAAUUUACCGGCUGCACCAGUUCCUACUACACUGGCCGUGAAGGGAGACACUUUUGAGGAUACCCAGAUGGAUACAGAUCUGCCUUGCUCUCCACUACCUGACAGCCUCACCUAGAAGUGCAUACACUGGGCCUAUCAAGAUUGACAAAGCAGAGAUGGGUGGCUGACAAGGAAAAAUAAAGCAACACAUUAUCCACAAUUACAAGUUGUAAUUACUUGUUUAUUAAAUGUUUGCUCCAUUUUAUUUUAGGAUUGGCGAUAUCUACUCCUUCAUAUCCAUUCUCAGUAUCUACAUAAUUACUCUAAAUAUCUAUCAAAUCAAAGUGUGAUUGAUAAUGUUGUAAAAGACUAUGGCUUAAUGUGAACAGUUUGAGGAAAUUAUGAGUUGAAAAACAUGUCUCCCUCUCACACAUUAGACCCAAUGUAAAUAAAUUGUAAAAAC